rnacentral:rRNA from 1 species
UACGUAGGUGGCAAGCGUUAUCCGGAUUUAUUGGUCGUAAAGGGAACGCAGGCGGUCUUUUAAGUCUGAUGUGAAAGCCUUCGGCUUAACCGGAGUAGUGCAUUGGAAACUGGGAGACUUGAGUGCAGAAGAGGAGAGUGGAACUCCAUGUGUAGCGGUGAAAUGCGUAGAUAUAUGGAAGAACACCAGUGGCGAAGGCGGAUGACUGGACGGCAACUGACGGUGAGGCGCGAAAGCGUGGGGAGCAAACAGG